UCUAAUUUCAUAGCAAUGAAGCUUUUCAAAACUCAAUUUUCAACGAAUUUCAGCAAAUCCAAACCCAGUUUCAACAAAACUCUCGAAGAACAAAGUCGCAUUAGAAUUUUCAACAAAUUUCUGAGUUCUUUUCAAAGAGAAUCCAAACCCUUUUAACCAGCGCAUUUCAUCGAAACCCUUUUAUCCAUCGCAGUAACGACAACGAAGCUGAAGAAGUUAGAAUUCACUAUCGCUCAUUUCACAACUCACCAUCGCUGAUUUCACAGUGACGACGUGCAUUGGUAAAAUAAAGCUUCAGAACAGUUAAUAGAUCAAUUGAGGAAUGAGUAUGAUAAGGUUCUUGAACACAACAAUGACUUGGAAAAUGAAUUGAUUUCUGUUAGUGGUAGAUGCAUUGUGCGUAUAUUUUUGCUGAAUAUUGUUUAAUUACUAUGUGUUUCUUCAUUAAUCUUAUUUGGAGAGGUACUCAGGUCAAAUGAGUCAACAAAACUAUGAAUUGCACCUAAAACCUCUUGCAAGAGAUCAGUAUCUUUUUCUAGGGAGGAUCUCUCAGCAGGCUUUGAUUCCUACAAUUUCCCAGCUUCAUUUGUAUAAUCCGAUAACAUGUCAUUGGUAUGUUGAAAUCAUAUCUGUGUAUUUAGGCUGAAGGUGAUGUUCUUACUGUGGCACCUGAUAUGUCAAUUGUGCUUCUUGAAUUAUCUGUUGUGCCUGUGAUUCCGAAGUUGAUUUCUGAUGUUGAGUUGUAGUGCCAAUAUCAUCCAUUUGUAACAAUUUGUGUCUUUGUAUAUGUGUGACCUGAUUGUUAAUGUUGUUUCAUCAAUACUCCACAGUUUUACUGCAGCAACUAGCUUAGAAAGGGAUUGAAUGUGAAUCCGAAUAACUUUUUAUU